UGAACGCUGGCGGAGUGCUUAAUACAUGCAAGUCGUGCGAGAAAGAUUCUUCGGAAUUGAGUAGAGCGGCGAACGGGUGAGUAACACGUAAAUAACCUGCCCCUAAAUUUGGGAUAACCAUGCUAACGCGUGGCUAAUACCGAAUGUGGUGUAAGUGCCUCAUGGUACUACUAUUAAAGGCGGUCUUUCGGGGCUGUUGUUUAGGGAUGGAUUUGCGUACUAUUAGUUAGUUGGUAAGGUAACGGCUUACCAAGACGAUGAUAGUUAGCCGACCUGAGAGGGUGAUCGGCCACAUUGGGACUGAGACACGGCCCAGACUCCUACGGGAGGCAGCAGUAGGGAAUAUUGCGCAAUGGACGAAAGUCUGACGCAGCAACUCCGCGUGGAGGAUGACGGUUUUCGGAUUGUAAACUCCUUUUAUUUGGGAAGAAAGUGCUUAGUAGUAACUGACUAAGUUUUGACGGUACCAUUUGAAUAAGCCACGGCUAAAUAC
rnacentral:rRNA from 1 species